rnacentral:rRNA from 1 species
GACGAACGCUGGCGGCGUGCUUAACACAUGCAAGUCGAACGGUAAGGCCCUUCGGGGUACACGAGUGGCGAACGGGUGAGUAACACGUGGGUGAUCUGCCCUGCACUUCGGGAUAAGCCUGGGAAACUGGGUCUAAUACCGGAUAGGACUCCUGGCUUCAUGGUUGGGGGUGGAAAGCUUUUGCGGUGUGGGAUGGGCCCGCGGCCUAUCAGCUUGUUGGUGGGGUAAUGGCCUACCAAGGCGACGACGGGUCGCGGGCCUGAGAGGGUGACCGGUCACACUGGGACUGAGAUACGGCCCAGACUCCUACGGGAGGCAGCAGUGGGGAAUAUUGCACGAUGGGCGCAAGCCUGAUGCAGCGACGCCGCGUGAGGGAUGACGGCCUUCGGGUUGUAAACCUCUUUCAGCUAUGACGAAGCGCAAGUGACGGUAGUAGCAGAAGAAGGACCGGCCAACUACGUGCCAGCCGCCGCAGUAA